GACGAACGCUGGCGGCGUGCUUAACACAUGCAAGUCGAACGGAAAGGCCCUGCGUUUUUGGGGUGCUCGAGUGGCGAACGGGUGCGUAACACGUGAGUAACCUGCCCUUGACUUUGGGAUAACUUCAGGAAACUGGGGCUAAUACCGGAUAGGAGCUCCUGCUGCAUGGUGGGGGUUGGAAAGUUUCGGCGGUUGGGGAUGGACUCGCGGCUUAUCAGCUUGUUGGUGGGGUAGUGGCUUACCAAGGCUUUGACGGGUAGCCGGCCUGAGUGGGUGACCGGCCACAUUGGGACUGAGAUACGGCCCAGACUCCUACGGGAGGCAGCAGUGGGGAAUAUUGCACAAUGGGCGGAAGCCUGAUGCAGCAACGCCGCGUGCGGGAUGACGGCCUUCGGGUUGUAAACCGCUUUCGCCUGUGACGAAGCGUGAGUGACGGUAAUGGGUAAAGAAGCACCGGCUAACUACGUG
rnacentral:rRNA from 1 species